GAUGCUAGAAGGUGAGCACACAAAUAAACAGCCUGCAAGGAAACAAAGGUGGAAGAAACUGGGCAGUGAUUUUUGAAGAAGUGCUUCUCCCUGAGGUACAGCAGGAGUUGGAAAACUGUGUGUGGCUUCAUUAGCUAAUCAGAGAAGACUGGCUGGGAGAAGAGCUGCAUGAGGAAGUGGUGUCACGUCCACUGGAUCCUAACUGAGGCACUACACACACACACCCAUGCAACACAGACUGACAAGCACAAAUAUGUUCUGUCAAAUGUUACAUUAUCUCCAGGAUUUGGCAGCAGCCCCUGCAGAUGUUGAGUCAGGAGUGGGUGCAGCUUGUUAUGCCCUUGGGCCUUACCUUUUCUCUACUGUCGACUUCCACCCCCACAUGUUCAUCUCUCCUUAUUUAAAAAGGGAAUGGACCCACUCAGGUUGAAAAGCAGCUCGAUGAAGAAGACAGAAACAGUUAAGGAGCCUCUCUCCCAUGCCUGCUAUACUUUCACUGAAAUCUCAGAAGAUGCUUUUGAAUAAAUACAGAAAUGAUAAAAUGUGGCUUACAAUAUAACAUUUCACUUGUCCCUAACCCCAAUUAUUGUAAGUGUUUGGUGAGAAAAAGCUUAACAUUUGUUCAGCAACCACCAAGGCUCUCUCUCUGUCUCUCUGUGC